rnacentral:rRNA from 1 species
UACGGAGGGUGCAAGCGUUAUCCGGAAUCACUGGGUUUAAAGGGUGCGUAGGCGGUUUGAUAAGUCAGUCGUGAAAUACUUCCGCUUAACGGAUAGAACUGCGAUUGAUACUGUUAGACUUGAAUUAGGUUGAGGUAGGCGGAAUGUGACAUGUAGCGGUGAAAUGCUUAGAUAUGUCAUAGAACACCGAUUGCGAAGGCAGCUUGCUGGACCUAAAUUGACGCUGAGGCACGAAAGCGUGGGGAGCAAACAGG